CAAUAGCGUAUAUUAACUUUGUUGCAGUUAAAAAGCUCGUAGUUGAAUUUUAGGUUUUGGAUUUGUCCUUGUCUAUUUUGGAUAUUGGAUGUGAUCCUGAUCUUUUGCGAAUGGAAAUUUCGUGGCAUUAGGUUGUCGCGGAUUGGAUGUUUGCCGUUUACUGUGAAAAAAUUAGAGUGUUCAAAGCAGGCUUAUGCCUCGUGAAUAUAUUAGCAUGGAAUAAUGAGAUAGGACCUGUGUGCUAUUUUGUUGGUUUGCGCAUGUGGGUAAUGAUUAACAGGAACGGUUGGGGGUCUUCGUAUUCCAUUGUCAGAGGUGAAAUUCUUGGAUUUUUGGAAGACGAACUACUGCGAAAGCAUUGACCAAGGAUGUUUNCAUUA
rnacentral:rRNA from 1 species